UCCGAGUUGACCCCGGCGGUCUCCCAUAAGUCCCCGGCAUAACCCGCUGGCAAUAUGGGACGAGGGUUGCGCUCGUUGCGGGACUUAACCCAACAUCUCACGACACGAGCUGACGACAACCAUGCACCACCUGUACACCCCCAACUAAAUGACCCUGCAUCUCUACAGGUCCAGGAUGUAUGUCAAGCCCAGGUAAGGUUCUUCGCGUUGCAUCGAAUUAAGCCGCAUGCUCCGCCGCUUGUGCGGGCCCCCGUCAAUUCCUUUGAGUUUUAGCCUUGCGGCCGUACUCCCCAGGCGGGGCGCUUAAUGCGUUAGCUACGACGCGGAAACCGUGAACCAGUCCCCACACCUAGCGCCCACCGUUUACAGCAUGGACUAC
rnacentral:misc_RNA from 1 species